AGGGAAGGCCCAUUGUUACUAAUCUCAGGAGAGGCCGUUUAUCCAUACCUGAAGCUACAGGAGAGCGAGGCAGGUCUUCCCCUGGGCUCCUAUUGCCAUUAGGCAGAUUUUCUUCUGGUGUUCACUAACGGUGUGAUCUCCUUCUGGACUCCAGCAGAGGUUUCAGUUUAGGUGCACGAUUUGCUCUUAUUCUGGGCCAAGGCAUCAUCUCUGUUACCUAAGUUCUACAAGAGACCAAAUAAAAGGAAGCUCAUAGCAGCAGCCAGAAACAAGUCCCGAGAAACCAAAGCUAUGAUAACUGGAAACAUCUGUGUCAAUUUUUCAGCGACCACGAAAACAGACCAGGAGUUUGCAGGGAGCAUGAGCUGUGCUUGUUACCAGCCUGCCACACACUUGGCACAGCUGGUGUUUGCAAGCCUACGCCUGACCACUUACUUGUCCUGAAGUUGAACCACCACAACCUCACUUUGGCUCAUGGUGAUUGUAGACAUCCAGCCAUUAUCUUCAUGGGAUUCCUGUCAAUGAAUAUACUGGCUGCAGUGCAUGGCUUGAUAAGCAGUGCACAGGUCCAUGCCCGGGAUCAAAUUGGUGAAUCCCAUGCCGCUGAAGAGGAGCGUGCAAAGUUAACCAAUGUGCCACUGGCCCAGCU
rnacentral:lncRNA from 1 species